rnacentral:rRNA from 1 species
CAGCCGCCGCGGGAAUACGAAGGGUGCAAGCGUUACUCGGAAUUACUGGGCGUAAAGCGUGCGUAGGUGGUGGUUUAAGUCCGUUGUGAAAGCCCUGGGCUCAACCUGGGAAUUGCAGUGGAUACUGGGUCACUAGAGUGUGGUAGAGGAUAGUGGAAUUUCCGGUGUAGCAGUGAAAUGCGUAGAGAUCGGAAGGAACAUCUGUGGCGAAGGCGACUAUCUGGGCCAACACUGACACUGAGGCACGAAAGCGUGGGGAGCAAACAGGAUUAGAUACCCGAGUAGUCCCUGUCUCUUAUAC